UCAAGUGGGUAUUCAUGAGGGGUUGGAAGGGUCUAUGUGAUGUGUGCUGGGGCAGUGUUUAAGGACUGCUGGAGUUGUGCCGAACGUCUUCUGUGACUCAAGGGUGUGCCAAGUCUGGUAGCACUCGGGGCAGGCCAUCUGCCCCCAUCCAUCUGCUACCCCCAUGGCAGCACUGGCUCCUAGGAUGGGGGACGGCUGAGAAGGCCCUGGACAGAGAGCAUCCUGGAGGACAGAAGGGAUGAGGGAUCCAGAUCUUCUGUUCUACAUUUUCUCUUCCUGAAGAGGAGUUGGGAGAAGAGGAAGGUGUGGGAGUGGGGAUGCUGGGCUGGGUCUUCAUGUCCAACUGCUAACUCUUCUUUCUGCUACCCUUCCACAAACCCAAGAGGGUCCACUUCUGUGAUUCAAAACAUAGACGAUACCAGCUACCUGGAACCUUUGGGAGGGAAGAGGGGAAGCUGUUUGCUUAGGUAGUGACUGGGACCUGAACACUCGCACCUGUGCAUUCAGAUGUAUCCCUGGGCAGCUCACUGGACUGAACUCUGGGGUGGUAUGGGUUCCCCAGAGAUCUGGGUGGCAUAUCCUGUACCUGUGAUGCGUGAAGUUAGGAGUUUGGGUGGCAGGUGAGUGGGGGGAUGGUCCUUGGAACUGGCUGGGGCUGGGCUUACCAGCUCCACCUCCUGCAGGCUUUGAAGCGGAAGCCAGAUUUGUUCCAGUGUGAGCGAUUGGAUGUCAAAGCUGUGUUCCAGUGUGCUGUGCUGGCCCUCAAGUUCCCUGAGGCACCUACUGUCAAGGCCUCCUGUGGCUUCUUUACUGAGCUGCUGCCUCGAUGUGGG
rnacentral:lncRNA from 1 species